CAGAUGGAGACGCUCUCCCCGCUCCCUGCUAGGGAGUCACCGCGAGUCACGGGUUGAUCCCACCCCGGCCCCUACAGCUGCGCCUUCUGAUUGGCUACUACGUCUACAGUGCGCGAAAUUGUUGGCUGCAGCGCCUGUGGUUCCUGUGUCCAGGUCCAGGCUUUAAAGGAGAGCUCAACUAAAAGCUAGCCUGGGAUAAGCUAGGACGUGGGGGCUGUUCGUCGGGGCUUUAGGGUCAUCAGAGGUCACGUGUCGCGCUUCCCCGGACCUCUUCCUGCUGGCGGACCUGCGGGAGCCGAUGCUCAGGACCCAACCUUCCAACCGCCAGGCGCGGCCGGCCUGCGCAUCUCCCCAAACUCAGUUUCCUGGCUGCCAAAGCAAGCUCUGCACUUCUGCCUGGGGGUUGGGAUGAAGCUAUGAAACAACCCUUCCAUUCAUUCAGUGAAUGCUGUGGAAAAAGUGCUUCCACGGCAAGUUUUUAGGAAUAUAAAUGCCAAAAACUCCAGUGAUGUUUAUUUUGUUUCCCAAAUCUGUACCUUUCUGAGAUCAUCACUCCCAGCCUCCUCUAGUGACUCUGCAAGCUAAGGAAUUGUCAUCUCUCUUAUAAGAAACCUGUGUGGCACAAGGUUAAUGCUUGGGCAGUUUCCAUUAUGUGAAAGUCCCUUGGGUUGCACUGCACAGUGUACUAAUUAUGAUCCCAAUAAUCAGAUUUCUGGAUGACAUUUUCACCUGGGAUAUCAGAUGCAUUCCAUCAAGGCCACAGAUGGACAAAUGAAGAUCAAGACAUGGUGACAAAUGCCAGCUACUUUGCUAGCGAACCUGAAAAGCCUUUUGCCCAGCAGAGGGCAGUCACAAACUUGGCUGGGAGAAGGAGACCUGCAGGCUCGCGCGGAUCGGCCCAGCAUGCACUCAGCGUCCAGCAGAGGGCGCGUCUCCAGGCUGGCAUGGAUCAGAAACGGAGGAGAAUAUUGAAGCAGCAUCCCAAAUAUUAGUUCUGAAAAACAAAUGGAUACGGAAGAACAAACGAGCACCUUGAGAUCCAACCAUGGCCCAAAGAGGCUGCAGAUGAGUUGCCACGCCCUGAGGUGCCUCUCGGGGAGCCCUGGAGGCUCUGACUGACUGGAGUCACAUGUCGGACAGGGUUGCUGACAGGGUGUUUGCUGUGCUCGUCAUCCUGUAAGUGAGACACUACACAGCAUUUGUUUGCCAAAUUGUGGUACAUUAUGCAAAUCUAAGUUAAAUUAAUACUUAGAAAUACAGAUAGGAAAAGCUAGAAAAGCCCUGUAACAAAGCAUGAUUACUGAGAUUAGAGUGCUUUGAACUUGAGCAUUAGAGAAUCUUUCGAAUUUGUAGGAUUAAGCAGGAGGCAUACCCCUCUCUUAGGAGAAACAUGCACAUUUGUAAAGGAUCCUAGCACCGGGGGAGAGGUAUUUUGGGUAGCUUGGGGUUCUUAUGAGGGAAGGAAAGAGCCAAAACAUCUCCCAAUACCAAGAGUAAAUUUCCUCUCCACAAAACACUGGAGUUUGAUUGUCUGGGUUGGUUAACUGGGCAGAAAAAUAAACUGUGAGGAAGAAACCCACGCAUGGCUCUGGAGGAAGUGGUCAGGGUGAACACCACCCAGGAGCCUCUUUGAUUUUCAAAGAGUUGAGCCCCAGACCUUGCUGUGAGAUGUGAAGAGUCACUCCAAAUUUAUAAGCUCAUUAAACAAGUACUUUUGACUGUCUACAUGUAUGGCUUUAAAAAAAUACACAGACUGCUUCCAGCCACACCUAGACCUUCUCCAACCAUUUAGCUGACAGUUUUUUCUUCUAAUUACUCAAGUGAGCGUCUCUGUUAUUUACACAGUUUGUGGAAGGCAGAGGAGAAGGGAUUUGUGGUUUAGUACCUUGGCAGGGCAUAGGGGUCAAGUUCAGCCCAUCUUCUGAAAUCAGUCUGACCUGUCAGGCUACCAGAGACCGCUGGAGUGUUGCCCGCUCCCCCAUAAGGUGUUUCCCUGAUUUGCUCUGGCUGGGAGCCAGGAACGGGUUUUGAGUUCAUUUGUGCUUCUUUACUGACCUUAUUGGUGAAUAGUGGCUGGUUUGCCUAAAAGCUCACCCCACCCUCUCUCUCUGUUUUCCUGUGAUCUUAGGGAUUGAACCCUGAGGUGCUCUACCACAUCCUGAGCUCUGUUUAUUUAAUUUUGAGACAUGGUCUCACUAAUUUGCCAGAUUGGGUUUGAACUUGUGAUCCUUCUGCCUCAGCGUCCUAAGCAGGUGAGAUUACAGGUGUAUACCACCACACCCUUUCAUUUUUGAUUUGACAAAAUGAGAAAGUGUUGCCUUUUCCUUCUUUCUUUCCUUCCUUGGAUGUUGGGAAGAUUGAUGGGAUAAUGGUCAUAAAGUCCUUUGAGCUACCUCAAGAAGAGUAUAACCCAAUUCAUUACUGCACUUGCUUCUGCUCAUAAAUCCACACUGUCUACAGUUCCUGUCUGCAGGCCUGGGGUGGUGCCCAAGACCACAGAAGGAAUGCUCCCGACACAGUCACACAUGGUCCUGUUGGUUGGAGUUGGUCAUUCCUGACCUUGACAUCAACCAUCUUAAUCUCCAGAAAUAGGCUAAAUGCUAGUCCGGCCACUUGUGUCUCUUCAUCAUCUCCAGGGCGACUGCAUAUUUCCAGCCUCUGUGCUCCAGGAUCUAAUAAUAGGUGGGAUGAAAAGACUGUUUCCUCUGAUGCACUUUUAUGAGAUGUUUUCAAAGAGGAUGCGGUGGGGGAAUGGAUAAGCUGCUCGCUCAGUACAGUGAGGCGUCAGAAUGACGGGGCAGGGAAGCCCCACCUUCCCAGGGAGCUCUUGCUCAAGACAGCCCAGUUGUUAGAGGGCCAGGAAUCCGGGAACAUCAAGGCAGCCUCAGACCUUGUAACCUAGAUGUCAUUGUGCUUUUCAGGCAAUGAUGCCUGAUCACUGCAGGCAGAAGUGUGGCCAAAGGGCACCUAUGGGCCCGAAGCCCUUUCCACAGCAGCUCUGCUUGGGUAAUGGUGCUUCAUUAAGCCUGUGAUGUUUAGGGAUGUCAGACAUCUCCUUAACCCUGAAACACCUUUUGCUCGUGAGUGGUAAAGAGUUGGAUUUCUUAUCAGAAGAAUAUUUUAGCUAUGUGCCCUGGAGAGGAACUACUGUCCCCAUGAGGGGACAGCAAAGCCUCAAGGACAAAGGGAUUUCCUAGAGACAAUGUCAGGAAGGAGGGAGGUACAGAAGGGGACUCUGGAGUCAGCCUGGAAGUUGGGGUUGAGGGAACUCAUUAAAUCUGUUAAGAGGAGCCUAGAUGUUUUGAGCAAGAACAGGGCAGCACCAAAGCUGGGAGAGAUUGUGAAAAUGGUUCAGUGUUUCUGGAGUCUGGGAGGAGAAACUUAAUUAUGCUAUUUAAUUAAACCAAAAGGAAGGGAAUAGAAUAUUUGGUUGCCAAAAGGUGCUCUUAUAAAAAACUGUGGGCUGAGCUGCAGCACUGGGUACCAACAAAGGCAUGGGAGGCAGUGCAUCAGGAAGGACAGGCAGCAAGCUCCAUGGCUGCAGGUCAUCCUUGAUGUGUUUCUGCCAUCAGAAUUUGCCCUUGAUGUCGGGACUCUUCAUUUAUGCAUGUUUGUGCUGUUAAGAUUGUCUUCUGAGUCAUUUGAGAUUUUUAAGAAUAUGUUGCCAAAGUCAACAACCAACAGUUUAGGGUGGCCUGGUCCACCCAGGUCUGGUCCAGGAGGGUCAGGACCCUGCCUCACUCUCACCAUUUCCUGUGGCCCUUCCUCCCUACCAUCCACCACAUGGCACUCCUGGGCCACAGGUGGCUAUCAGCCUUUUGCCUUCCUCCUGCAAAGUUGGGCUCUUCACUUGGGGAGUGUGUGUAUACUCACACAUGUACAUGCUCGCUCACAAGUGUGUGUGCACACUCGCACACAUGCCCAAGUGGGUGGGGAGGAGAGAGUUCUGUUCCCUUGUGGUGAUUGCCACCAACCAAUCAGCUGGACUCUGAGCCGAGCCAAAGUGAAGCAAGAGCGACAUCGGGUGCCAAGAACAAGAGCUUGCUGUGAUAUCAGGUGUUUUCUGGCCUCAGUGUGUAGGAGCAGAGAGAAAGGCUUGGCUCAUUCCAGAGCCUUCACUCCUAGGGAGCAAGGAGUUUCUGGAUGGGGCUUCAUGUCAGUAUUCUGCUCUGCUCGUUUGCAUGAGGGAAUUAGACGCAGACUUGAGGCUUUGAAUGGAUUUUUAAAAUAAAAAUCAAGGCAAAGGUUUUGUUGGCUAGAACAUGACACAGGGACCCAGGUCAACAUUCUAACCCUGUACCUGCCUGCAGUGUCCUCUGGAGGAUAACUGUGCCGAUGUCUUUAGUGGACUACGUAAAAGUCUGACCUAGUUCACAGAGGUGGCGUGUUUGCUCUGGAGGCUGCUCCUGGGGCAGGCUUCCUGUAGCUAGAGUCAACCUCAUUUAGCCAGAGGUAGGGAGCUAAAAGGUAUUCCUGUGGAAUGGCUCCCUGAGAAGGGCUGGCCUGGCUUCCACAAAGAUGCUUUGGGGGACAGGAUGUCAUGGGCUACCUAAAGAGGAUCCCCCCAUGCAGGUGGGAAAGAAUAUGGUCAUGUUAUUUGCCAUUCAGCUGGUCCUUCUUCUUAGCUGGAGCCUGCUUGGCUUUUUCCUUCAUGGAAGAUAAGGCGGGGAAGAGGUUUGUUUGUCCAGAUGCCACCAGUCGGAUGACUAUUGCAGGCACAGGAGUGUCUCCAGGGCACAGUGCCAGGCCAGGUCCCACCUAAUGUCUCUAUUCCUCAUCCAGGAGUGCUGUAAUCAGCAGGUUGAUGCAAAACUGGGAAGGGUUGAGAAACCCCUUGGGCAGGAGAUUUCGAAAUGAGAUUCGGAUUAGAAGAAACAUAGUGGGUGGGGUUUUAAAGAUUGAAGGAGACAGGACAAACUCCCCUCCCAACACUGACACUCCGCUGGAUAGCGGGGAUACACAGAAGAGCCUAGAAUGGGGAGGCAGCAGCACAGGGCUGUGAGGCAGCAGAGAGUUCUGAGUGCUGUUUCCUGACCACCUAUCCCCACCCUUGACAAGGAGCCCUGUGUCUGUCCAUUCACCAGGCAAAACCACCCCUGCCACAGUGCUUUCUGUCUAGGGCAUGUCAGCACCAGCUAGGGGUAGAUAGAUAAAGCCAUGGAGAAGCGAGGGAGGAGGGUGCUGGCAGGAGUGGUAGGAGGAGAACUUGACUAUGUUGGACAAGGCAAAGAAGGGGUUAGUCCCCAGUACCGAAAGGAAAAAACAAACAAACAAACAAAAAACCCCAAGGGUGAACGAGCCUGUGACCCCAUAGCCUUUGUCCCCCCCAGUGGGAAGGGGCAGCUCCCUCCUUGGGUGGCCAGCAGCUGUCACACUGUCUGUGCCCCCUCACCACAUGAUCCUAUCUGAGGUUGGGCUCAGGACACCAGGCAUUGUGUGGCUCCUGGCAGAUGCCCACGAUAUGACGAACCCAGAGGAAGUUGCUGGCUGGAUCUGAAGCCAGAGACAGAGGUGGACUUGAGAAAAAGAAGGAAAUGGAGGAAGUAAGGGAGGAAGAGCGAUGCAAAGGAUCCCAAAAAAGGAAAAAAAGGAACUAAGAAGGAAAGGCAGGAGAAGUGGCAUUCUAGAAGGAGCAAAGAAGCAAGAAAAGAAGACAAAAAAGAGGAUUAUGUCUCAUUUGAAGGAAUUAAGAGUGGCAUAGUCAAGAAUGAGUCUCAGGCCUUAGAAAGCUUGUCAUGAUGAAUAAAUCAUUCCAUUCAGGUGGCUUGAUGAUGGUGGUACUCUUUGAAGAAGUCAGGACCAUACAGUGUAAAAGCCAAGAGUGGGGCUGUAAGAACUAGCUGACCAGCUCUAAACAAGAGGGGCUUAUGAUUCAUGCCCGUACAUACCUGCCUCGUGCAGGGUGGGGACCCAUCUAACCUGAAUCACUGCCCAGCCCCUCCCAGUCUCCUUAGAUGACAAGCUGUGGCAUCCUUGGUCCACCCAACUCACCCCCAAGCAUUUUUCCAGAACAGUAAACAAGUACAGGUGAGGAAGGUCACAGAUCUUUUGGUUUGGGGCCAUUUUCUCCUCCCUCUCAGUGCUCACCAUGUGACUAACCAGGGGUUUCUCAUCAGGGGCUUUUUAGUCUUUCUUCAAAGUGGUCAGAAGGUUGCCAGAUGCAUUCCUCUGAGCUCAAAGUUUAUUUCUGUAUUCUAUUAUGGACUGGGAAAUCCAAGGUUGCCUGAAACAUAUGGGAAAAUCGUCUCUCAUUUUUAGCAUGCCCAGUGUUUUCAACAGUUGAUGCAAAGUUGACCACAGCUGAUCACCUUUCUUGCCAAAAUUAAACCAGAGAUGAAUGUCAUUAACUAUUACCUCCAACAUUUGUUUAGAGGUUUAUACUUUCUAAGCAACUCAUUUUAUUUAAUCUCUGUAAUAAUCCUGCAUUACUGUUAUUCUGCAUUAUAGACAUUGAGUCUCAGAAAAGGUAAUUUUUUAUUAAUAAAUUUUAUUUUAUCCCAUUUCCCCCUCCUGCCCCCUCCCCUCGCUUUGUACAAAAGCUUUGUUUCCAUUUUUUUCCUUCUAUUUUCAUUUUUUUCAGAAAGGUAAUUUUUCCCCAGAGUCUAAAUUCCUUGGGUUCAAACAGUUCACCCUGAAUCAGGUAUAGUGGGGUACACCUGUAAUCUCAGCCCUCUGGGAGGGUGAAACAAGAGGAUCACAAGUUUGAGUCCAGCCUAGACAACUUACUGACCUAGUGAGAUCCUGUCUCAAAAUAAAAGAAUAAAAAAGGGUUGGGGGUGUAGCUUAGUAUAUAAGCCCUGGGUUUAAUCCCCAGUGCCACAAACAAAACAACACAACCAGGAUAUCCUCUGACGCAAAUCCUUGGUGCUUCCUAUACAAUGUUAUCAAACUCUUUAGAGUUCAGAGUGACAUCAAGGGCAGAUUCUGGUGAUCUUUCCUCAAUUUGUUCUCUCACUCUUCUUACCACCCAUUCACUUUCUGCCCUAUUUCUAUGACCAUCCAGUGGGAAAAGAGUACACUUCUCAGGGAAGAACAUCUACAUAAAGCAAAGGACUCUAACAUUUCCUUUGCCAAGGGCCCUUUCUUUCUCCAAAGUUUCUUUCAUGACAAAAGCAAUAGGAGAAUAUUGUAGAAAAAGUACAAAAUCUAGAAAAACAAGAAGAUAAUAAAAAUCAUCAUUCUGCCAUUGAGCAAUAACUUUAGUCUUCCAAACUCAGUGGUAUAUAGUCUUCUAUAACUUGUGUGAUAGAUAUAUGUAUGGAGUUACCUAAAUUUAUAAAAUUAUAAAAAUGGCAAAUUUUAAUAAAUGUUUUGCUUUAAAUUAAUUAAAAUGGCAAAUGUACCUACUCCAUAAUACUGUUUGGGGACUUGUUUUUUAAUUUAAUAUAUUGUAAAUAUUUUCCUGAACUAUUUUUAUAAAAUAUUUAUUUAGUUGACACAUAUAUCCUUGGAGAGGUCUUUUUUUUUUUUUUUUGGUACCAGGGAUUGAACUCAGGUCCUUGUGCUUGCGAGGCAGGUGGCAGAACCACUGAGCUAAAUCCCAGGGCCUGGAGAGGUCUUUUUGAGACAGGGCCUCACGGGCCAGGGAUUUAGCUCAGUGAUUAUGCUGCCUGUCUCGAAAGCGCAAGGACCUCAGUUCAAUCCCCGGUACCAAAAAAAAAAGUAUAAGAGACAGGGCCUCACUCUGUAGUCCAGAUCAGCCUGGAACUCACCAUGUGCCUCAGUGCUGUGAUUGUCAUGCUCAACUUCAUUAUGCAGAUAUUCCUCAUUGAAUGACCUGUUUACAGACUGUCCAGGCUUACAACCCACUGCUCAGACUUAUGGUUCAUCUCUUUUUUUUUGUACAGUUCUGCACAUCUUAUUUAUAGAGUCUCAAUGUCUUUUUUUGUAUAGUAUACCUUGCUUAUUACAGUACUGUAAUUUUUGCUGAUUGUACUGUAUAAUAUAGUGCUGUAGUUUUAUGUUCUGUUAUACAUUACAGUAUUGCCUGUAAGAGUUAUGCAAAUAAAAGCAAAG
ensembl:lncRNA